AAGGGCAUAGCUUAAUUGGUUAAGCUUCGGUCUUCAAAAUCGAUGAUUAUAGGUUCGACUCCUAUUGUCCUUA
rnacentral:tRNA from 1 species